GAUCAUGUCAGCUGCUAAUACUGGUGAGCAUGAAAUAAUUGCGUCUCCAGGAGGGGCUGCUGGUGCUGGUUUUCCAAGUAUGAGCUAUCCAGCUAGAGUGACUAUUAUUGCCCAGAAAAAGAUGAAGUUGACGGAAAGCUUAUUCUGUUGCCAAAGUCACUUCAAGAACUACUCGAUAUUGGUGCCAAAAAAUUUGGAUUCUUCCCCACCAAAAUUCUAAGCAAAGAAGGGGCC
rnacentral:misc_RNA from 1 species